GAUGAACGCUGGCGGCGUGCUUAACACAUGCAAGUCGAACGAAGAUGCCGGAGUGCUUGCACUUUGGCAGACUGAGUGGCGGACGGGUGAGUAACGCGUGGGUAACCUGCCUUAUACAGGGGGAUAACAGUUGGAAACGACUGCUAAUACCGCAUAAGCGCACGGUAUCGCAUGAUACAGUGUGAAAAACUCCGGUGGUAUAAGAUGGACCCGCGUCUGAUUAGCUUGUUGGUGAGGUAACGGCCCACCAAGGCGACGAUCAGUAGCCGGCCUGAGAGGGUGAACGGCCACAUUGGGACUGAGACACGGCCCAGACUCCUACGGGAGGCAGCAGUGGGGAAUAUUGCACAAUGGGGGAAACCCUGAUGCAGCGACGCCGCGUGGAGGAAGAAGGUCUUCGGAUUGUAAACUCCUGUUGUUGAGGAAGAUAAUGACGGUACUCAACAAGGAAGUUGACGGCUAACUACGUG
rnacentral:rRNA from 1 species